CCUACGGGAGGCAGCAGUGGGGAAUAUUGCACAAUGGGGGAAACCCUGAUGCAGCGACGCCGCGUGAGUGAAGAAGUAUUUCGGUACGUAAAGCUCUAUCAGCAGGGAAGAAAAUGACGGUACCUGACUAAGAAGCCCCGGAUAACUACGUGCCAGCAGCCGCGGUAAUACGUAGGGGGCAAGCGUUAUCCGGAUUUACUGGGUGUAAAGGGAGCGUAGACGGCAGCGCAAGUCUGGAGUGAAAUCCCAUGGCUUAACCAUGGAACUGCUUUGGAAACUGUGCAGCUAGAGUGCAGGAGAGGUAAGCGGAAUUCCUAGUGUAGCGGUGAAAUGCGUAGAUAUUAGGAGGAACACCAGUGGCGAAGGCGGCUUACUGGACUGUAACUGACGUUGAGGCUCGAAAGCGUGGGGAGCAAACAGGAUUAGAUACCCGAGUAGUC
rnacentral:rRNA from 1 species